CAUGCAAGUCGAACGAUGAACCUCGCUUGCGGGGGGAUUAGUGGCGAACGGGUGAGUAACACGUGAGUAACCUGCCCUUAACUCUGGGAUAAGCCUUGGAAACGAGGUCUAAUACUGGAUAUUGACUUUACCUCGCAUGGGGUUUUGUUGAAAGAUUUAUUGGUUUUGGAUGGACUCGCGGCCUAUCAGCUUGUUGGUGAGGUAAUGGCUCACCAAGGCGACGACGGGUAGCCGGCCUGAGAGGGUGACCGGCCACACUGGGACUGAGACACGGCCCAGACUCCUACGGGAGGCAGCAGUGGGGAAUAUUGCACAAUGGGCGAAAGCCUGAUGCAGCGACGCCGCGUGAGGGAUGACGGCCUUCGGGUUGUAAACCUCUUUCAGUAGGGAACAAGGCCAGCAUUUUUGUUGGUUGAGGGUACUUGCAGAAGAAGCGCCGGCUAACUACGUGCCAGCAGCCGCGGUAAUACGUAGGGCGCAAGCGUUAUCCGGAAUUAUUGGGCGUAAAGAGCUCGUAGGCGGUUUGUCGCGUCUGCCGUGAAAGUCCGGGGCUCAACCCCGGAUCUGCGGUGGGUACGGGCAGACUAGAGUGAUGUAGGGGAGACUGGAAUUCCUGGUGUAGCGGUGAAAUGCGCAGAUAUCAGGAGGAACACCGAUGGCGAAGGCAGGUCUCUGGGCAUUAACUGACGCUGAGGAGCGAAAGCAUGGGGAGCGAACAGGAUUAGAUACCCUGGUAGUCCAUGCCGUAAACGUUGGGCACUAGGUGUGGGGGACAUUCCACGUUUUCCGCGCCGUAGCUAACGCAUUAAGUGCCCCGCCUGGGGAGUACGGCCGCAAGGCUAAAACUCAAAGGAAUUGACGGGGGCCCGCACAAGCGGCGGAGCAUGCGGAUUAAUUCGAUGCAACGCGAAGAACCUUACCAAGGCUUGACAUGAACCGGAAAUACCUGGAAACAGGUGCCCCGCUUGCGGUCGGUUUACAGGUGGUGCAUGGUUGUCGUCAGCUCGUGUCGUGAGAUGUUGGGUUAAGUCCCGCAACGAGCGCAACCCUCGUUCUAUGUUGCCAGCACGUUAUGGUGGGGACUCAUAGGAGACUGCCGGGGUCAACUCGGAGGAAGGUGAGGAC
rnacentral:rRNA from 1 species